ensembl:lncRNA
GCACAGGCGCCUGCUCCACCCUGCUGCUCACAAGCCUUUGCUCACACACCGACUCACACGCUCCACCUCCGCGCUGGCCAAUGCUCGCAUAGUCUAACGGCUACUUGAAACCCAUAGUGUGGACUUAAAUGUCUUUUACGUCAGGAAGGGUGGACGGCUUGGGAGCAUUGCCAGGCCACACAUAACACUUUGGUGGAGACUAAACAGGAUGGUGGUCUCUUUGUCCUUCUUUCAAGGCCUCCUGGAAGACUUACUAAGCAAAGCGGGGAUUGCUGGGGAGAUGUAUCAAGGUUUCUAUACACGCAAGGGCAUUGCUCGGCCCUGUGGCUGCAUCUGGUUUUCAUUGCCCUGGCUCUCAAGGGAGUCUCCCUCUCAUUGAGAAGACUCAGUGGAAAGCCUUCCUAGUUGACAUAGGGUCAAGUAAAGACAGAAUGUCAGGACCUGCAGACACAGCAGAGCAACUGGGAAACAAUACCUUAAAAACAAACAAAGAAAAAUAUUUAAAAGGAAUAUGCAAGAAUUUGGGGACACUCAUGAGGCCCAAAUUUAUGAGUUACCUGAGAAGACUGUGGGGUGGAAGAAAAUGAAUGCGGUAUCCAGAGAAGACCCAUGGUUGCAAAGCUUGACCAGCUCUCAAAUGCCAUCAUCUGUUGAAUAUUCCCAGGAAUUGGUCCAUGCGUUCCCUGAAAACCCUCAAGAUCUGAUAAUGCUCACCAGACCCGUCCUCACAGACACUCACGAGAUAUGCUCCACUAAUUUCCCAGGUAUUUCCUAAUCUUAGCACGUUGACAAUCAAGGCUGAGCAUCCCAACAGCAUAAAGUUGACCAAGGAGCACGGGAAAAGUUGCACAGCAUCGCUACUCAUCCUGAGGAUUAAAGUGAAAACACCACGAGGAAAGACUCCUGGUUUCUAGUUUUGCAUGAAGGAGCCUGGAAGUUUGCAGCUCAUCCUCACACAGACACCCUGGUGAACCUACUAGAAACCUGACAGUUCUCAUAGGCUGUGCAAGAAAGGUGAGCACACACAGGAGGAAAUACAUAGAGAGACUGGAGUUCAGGAUGAAGUCAGCAGGUCACAGGCACCCUGGGACCUUGUCACACUUGCCUGACCCUGACCCCGCCGGCACAAGAGGGUCUGGUUCUGCGGUUCCUUUACUCGCAGCAAUUGAGUCUGGUUCCCAAGAAGACGCCCCACGCAGGACGAGGAGAGCGAGCGGGUUGGAAGGAAUCCACGGCCGGAGGUGUCCAUCACAUCUGUCCGUACUCAGCCCCACGUUGGGCGCCAAUUGUUCCGGACCAAUGUCUUCAGGACUGUGGACGGAGCCAGCCGUACAGUCCCCGGUCCGUUUCUGAGUGGAGUUACCUGAGAAGACUCUGAGGUGGAAGAAAAUGAAUGCGGUAUGCGGAGAAGACCCAUGGUUGCAAGGCUUGACCAGCUCUCAAAUGCCAUCAUCUGUUGACUGUUCCCAGGAAUUGGUCCAUGCGUUCCCUGAAAACCCUCAAGAUCUGAUAAUGCUCACCAGACCCGUCCUCACAGACACUCACGAGAUGUGCUCCACUAAUUUCCCAGGUAUUUCCUAAUCUUAGCACGUUGACAAUCAAGGCUGAGCAUCCCAACAGCACAAAGUUGACCAAGGAGCACGGGAAAAGUUGCACAGCAUCGCUACUCAUCCUGAGGAUUAAAGUGAAAACACCACGAGGAAAGAUUCCUGGUUUGUCGCUUUGCUUGAACGAGCCUGGAAGUUUGCAGCUCAUCCUCACCCAGACACCCUGGUGAACCAACUAGAAACCUGACAGUUCUUCUAGGCUGUGCAAGAAAGGUGAGCACACACAGGAGGAAAUACAUAGAGAGACUGGAGUUCAGCGUUGAAGUCAGCAGGUCACAGGCACCCUGGGUCCUUGUCACACUUGCCUGACCCUGACCCCGCCGGCACAAGAGGGUCUGGUUCUGCGGUUCCUUUACUCGCAGCAAUUGAGUCUGGUUCCCAAGAAGACGCCCCACGCAGGACGAGGAGAGCGAGCGGGUUGGAAGGAAUCCACGGCCGGAGGUGCGGGAGUGUUUCCCGGGUGACCAGCAGGGGGCGCGGGGCGGGAGAGGCCUUCGGGGCUCCUGAAGUUGGGGUUCCCUGGAAUGAGGGGAGUGUGUGAGCCGGGCGGGCUGAGAGCAGGUUAGAGCCAGGCUGACAGCGGUUGGGGAGAAGGCGAACUGGGCGUGGUAGUUUUCACUCUACACUCCGCCCACAGUGUUUGUUGGCACGGUGAUGACGUCAUCCUAACUCAGAGCUAACUAAUGGUUUGAUGGGCCUGACUCCUGCCGGCUCUGGUGGCGCAGGCCGGAAGGAUUUGCUGAAGGAGGCAGAGGCAGGUGGAUCUGGAGUUCGAGGCCAGCCAGGACUACACAUUUUUUUUUCUUGUUCUCCAACAAAACAUCCACAGCUACACACUACACUAAAAUUCCUACACUCACAAAGCCUCUCUGCACUUUAUUCUCAACCUCAUUUCCCUCGCGACCGACUCCCAACCAACACCAUCUUCUCCAGACGCACAGGCGCCUGCUCCACCCCGCUGCUCACAACAAGCCUUUGCUCACACACAGACUCACACGCUCCAUCUCCGCGCUGGCCAAUGCUCGCACUGCUCACUCCUCUCCCCGACAGGCUCCCUUCCCUACAACCCCUCUCUCUCCUCAGACACUCCAACCCUGAGCUUCAUUUGUCUCUAGCCUGCGCGUGCCAGGGUCUGCUUCUUGACCCCAGCGUCAGGGCUCGCUGUGCGGGGUCCCAGGGAGCAUCCAGACAGAGAUCCGCAGUCCCACAGUCGGCGCCACGCGGCUCACGACACACAGAUUGUCCUCUCCUCCGCCAGAAUUCAUUCACUUAGCACGACGGCCUCUUUUCAUCUUCCCUGUGCCUCGUACACUUGCUCCCUCCAGCUCCUGCUGGGGACCCCACAGCCUGUCCCUGUCCCCUCCUUCUCCUCCUACUCCUGCCCUCUGUUCUUCUGCUGCUAGAGGGUAGGGAUGAGGCGGGCCGGGGUCCACGUGGCUCUGGAACCUCCAGGUCUUCCUCCGUCAGUGUGGACAGCAUGUGGGAGGCCAACACUAAGUGGCCCUUCCUGCUUAAGGAUGAAGGAUGCCGCGUCCUACUAUGCACAAGCCAUUCGCGUAUAACGAACUCUUCCUGAGGCUAAGCACGCAAGGCUGUGGUUUCUACACUGGGCCACAGGUCCUGCUGCUGUCAACAUGGGCAUAUGGGUACCUGCUACACCCCUGCGGGCCUAUCCCGCGGGCCACCUGGGGACAGCUGGGGAAGAAUGCAGCCCUGCACAAAACUGAAAACUCACUUAAAACAUGAUGAGACCUUUUGUGUUUGAGUUUGGCUUUGUUUUGACCCAAUCGUGCAGUUCUCAAGAGUGAACUGGGUGCGCCGCAGCAUCCUGUGGCCGUGUCAGAGGGUUGGACACGCCUGUGCCUGUGCAUCGGGUCCUCACUGUGACAAUACUGAGGGGGACGGAUGCUGGACCACAGGCUCCAGUCUUGACUCCAGCUUCUGUCCCACCUUCUCCUUCCAGUUUCCUCCCAUGUCUUCCCUCCUAUCGGUUAAAACCCACCCUGUGCCGGCUCAUUUGGGGCUGCACCCACCCACCUGUCCAAAAAGGCACAGGGGAAAGAACAACUCACGACAACAGUAUCCCCACCAUGGGUGCUGCUCUGUUUUGUGACUUGGACUGAAGUUGAGAGUCUUCAGGAAGAGGAGACAUCACUGCGAAAAUCCCUCCAUAAGACGGGGUAGGCAGUAAGUCCGUGUGACAUUUUCUUUGCCAUCAUCUGUUGAAUAUCCCCAGGAAUUGGUCCAUGCGUUCCCUGAAAACCCUCAAGAUCUGAAAUGUUCACCAGACCCGUCCUCAAGGAAUCCACGGCCGGAGGUGCGGGAGUGUUUCCCGGGGUGACCAGCAGGGGGCGCGGGGCGGGAAAGGCCUUCGGGGCUCCUGAAGUUGGGGUUCCCGGGAAUGAGGGGAGUGUGUGAGCCGGGCGGGCUGAGAGCAGGUUAGAGCCAGGCUGACAGCGGUUGGGGAGAAGGCGACCUGGGCGUGGUAGGCGGUUUUCACUCUACACUCCGCCCACAGUGUUGGGAGGGAGAUGACGUCAUCGUAACUCAGCGCUAACUAAUGGUUUGAUGAGUCUGACUCCCGCCGG